UUUCCGUAGGUGAACCUGCGGAAGGAUCAUUAUUGAAAUAAACUUGAUGGGUUGUUGCUGGUUCUCUCGGGAGCAUGUGCACACCUUGUCAUCUUUAUACCUCCACCUGUGCACUUUUUGUAGACCUUUUCGGGUCUAUGUUGCCUCAUUUUACCCCAAUGUAUGUCAAUAGAAUGUUGUGCCUAUAUAUAAUAUAUACAACUUUCAGCAACGGAUCUCUUGGCUCUC
rnacentral:misc_RNA from 1 species